GCAUGGCUGUCGUCAGCUCGUGUCGUGAGAUGUUGGGUUAAGUCCCGCAACGAGCGCAACCCUCGCCUUUAGUUACCAUCAUUCAGUUGGGGACUCUAAAGGAACCGCCGGUGAUAAGCCGGAGGAAGGUGGGGAUGACGUCAAGUCCUCAUGGCCCUUACGCGCUGGGCUACACACGUGCUACAAUGGCAGAUACAGUGGGCAGCAAUCCCGCGAGGGUGAGCUAAUCUCCAAAAUCUGUCUCAGUUCGGAUUGCACUCUGCAACUCGAGUGCAUGAAGGCGGAAUCGCUAGUAAUCGCGGAUCAGCAUGCCGCGGUGAAUACGUUCCCAGGCCUUGUACACACCGCCCGUCACACCAUGGGAGUUGGAUUCACCCGAAGGCGUUGCGCUAACUCAGCAAUGAGAGGCAGGCGACCACGGUGGGUUUAGCGACUGGGGUGAAGUCGUAACAAGGUAGCCGUAGGGGAACCUGCGGCUGGAUCACCUCCUUUCUAAGG
rnacentral:rRNA from 1 species